rnacentral:rRNA from 1 species
UACGAAGGGGGAGAGCGUUGUUCGGAAUUACUGGGCGUAAAGGGAGUGUAGGCGGCCGAGUAAGAUAGCGGUGAAAUCCCAGGGCUUAACCUUGGAAUUGCCAUUAUAACUAUUUGGCUAGAAUGAUAGUGAGGAUAUCGGAAUACCCAGUGUAGAGGUGAAAUUCGUAGAUAUUGGGUAGAACACCGGUGGCGAAGGCGGGUAUCUGGCUAUCUAUUGACGCUGAGGCUCGAAAGCAUGGGGAUCAAAC